rfam:Syntrophobacter fumaroxidans MPOB, complete genome.
GUUUGGAAAAGGCAAACUAUUCGAAAGACUGGGACGCAAAGCUUCUGGCCUAAGUCCAAAAGGAUAUGGCAGCAGAGCCGCCGAG